UGAUGAAGCUCCGAGCGGAGUGACCAUACAUUUUUCUACUCUGUCGAAUGCGAAGAAGGGCACAUUUAAAACCAUGGAGUACAGCUGGAGAGGAAUCCGCUUUCUCUGUUUCAUGGCGGUUUAUGGACCUGGCCUGUCUGCAGCUCAGCUUGGAGGCCAGCAGGUGAAGGGGAUUGUGGGGGAAUCGUUCACUUUCCCUGUGGUAAUCCCAAACCUGCAGCCGGAUAUAGAGGUUCACUGGAGAUACGGUCCUGCAGGUCCAGAUAGCCCUAUAGCAAGACUUCAGGAAGGGAAGAUUAAGACUGAUUUUGAUGAGAGAUUUAAAUCACGACUGCAGUUAAACAUGAACACUGGCUCCCUGCAGAUUCAUCAUUUAAACACAGAAGACAGCGGGAUCUACCAAGUGGAGACAGUGAGGAACAUAUUUCACAAGAGAUUUUACCUGUCUGUUUACAACCCAGUUCCAGAGCCUCAGGUUAUGCAGAUCCAUUCAGCUAACAGGAGCUGCACUCUGCUGUGCUUUGUGGGAAACGCCAGUGAAGUGAACGUGUCCUGGAUGAGAGAUGGGAAGCCACUGAACACAACAGAACUGGAGAUCUCGCAGGAAAUGCAAGGGGGCAAUGUUACCUACACCUGUGUGGCCAGCAACCCUGCCAGCAACAACACCACCACUGUGACACCUUCACAUUACUGUGAUGAGAAAGAUGAUGCCCCGAGGAGUCACAUUUCGAUUCCUGGGAUAGUGCUCGCUGUGAUCGGAGUCCUGGCAGGCAUUUUGAUCAUCACAGUGUAUCUCAGGAGACGGAAGAAAGCUGUUGAGAAAGAAGGCAGGUUGCAAGGCUUCCAGAAACUCGGGUGAUAUCGAGUACUCGGAAAUUAUGAGCACAGCGCCUCCUACUGGCAAUGGACAGAACCACACAGAACGGUCUGAAGAUCAAACGAGAGACAAACAGAUGACCAUAUACUACGAACUCCAGCCACCGAGCUCCCAGAAUGCACCGUGCUGACGCAGGAAGGAGACGGUUACUGUUCUGCGGGAGUUUAAACCCCAUUCUCUUAAAAAAAAAAAAACAGCUGAGGUUUUCAGAUCUGUUUUCUUACCUCUUAUGAGCUCUGGCAACACAACUGUGAGUUAGGUCCAAGUUCACGGGACUCUAGUCGAAGUUCAUUCAUCAGUAUUAAAGUCCUGUAUGUGCGUGAACUCGUAUGUAAAAUGCUGGGCAGAAUAUUAGCAACGCUUGUCAUUUGCAGCACACAUUUCUUGAAAUAUGUGCAAUAUUUAGUUUUGAAUCCUUCAAUGUGCAGCUCUGGCCAAAUGUUUAGCAGCAUCACCCUCUAUAUAGAAUGAACUCCCUCAGCUUCAUAGAGUCCAAUGAAAGCUGCUGAAUAAUGUUCCCUUGUUAACAUAUUGAAUUCCACCCCCUCUAUAUAGAAUGAACUCCCUCAGCUUCAUAGAGUCCAAUGAAAGCUGCUGAAUAAUGUUCCCUUGUUAACAUAUUGAAUUCCACCCCCUCUAUAUAGAAUGAACUCCCUCAGCUUCACAGGAGUCCAAUGAAAGCUGCUGAAUAAUGUUCCCUUGUUAACAUAUUGAAUUCCACCCCCUCUAUAUAGAAUGAACUCCCUCAGCUUCAUAGAGUCCAAUGAAAGCUGCUGAAUAAUGUUCCCUUGUUAACAUAUUACAAAAUGUUCAUAUAGGUUGUUUUUUUUCAACGCUGCAAUCCUAAAAUUCUAAGGGAUGCAAAAUUUUUGGGCAGAGCUGUAUAAUUGCAUACAGUAUUAGCAAUUAAAAUAUGAUUUCAUGUGCUGAGGCAAUUUAUCAAUAUUUGCCUUUUGCACUACAGCUACAAAAAAGUACCUUCGAUAACGGAGAUAAACCAGGGAGUUAACACAGAAUGCAGUGAAGUUUCCAGUACUUUCUAUCUUUGUAAUUGUUGAUGCCAAAAGCCGUGGGCUGUUUUAUUGCAAAAUGCUUUACUGUCAGUGUUUUUGUUAUAAAAACAAAUCCGACACACACCAUCUGUCUUUUUUAGUUCCCGGUUUCAAUAAGACAUAAGCAAUGAUCUCGUGUGGUUUAUGAAUAAUAAAAUGUAUGGACAUUUAUAACAAUAAAACAGACCCUGCAAAUGAAAAAUUAAAACCAACCCUGAUACAAUUAUGAAAUCUCUUAGAAGCCUGGUAUCUGCUGUCUAAAUUGCUAUUUCAGGUUUUUCAUUUCAUCUUAUCCCUAUGAUUCUGUGUGACACACGCAUCCACAAUGUCUAGAAUUCACAUCCUAGCCUUGUAAUUAAUGUAUCUCACUGUAUUUAAUGUAUCUGCAUUGUUUUUUUUUACUGUUUGUAUUGAAUGUGCUAUGUCCUGUAUUUCAUUGUAUUUAAUGUAUUAAGCAUUGUUCCUCACUCUCUUGUAAAGCGCUUUGUGAUGGAGGUCCACUAUGAAAGGCGCUAUAUAAAAUAAAGAUUUUGAUUGAUUAAAAUAAUAUUAAAAAGUUUAAGUAUAAAA